rnacentral:rRNA from 1 species
GGCGUGCCUAAUACAUGCAAGUCGAGCGGAGAGAAUGGGAGCUUGCUCCCUGAUGUUAGCGGCGGACGGGUGAGUAACACGUGGGUAACCUGCCUGUAAGACUGGGAUAACUCCGGGAAACCGGGGCUAAUACCGGAUGGUUGUCUGAACCGCAUGGUUCAGACAUAAAAGGUGGCUUCGGCUACCACUUACAGAUGGACCCGCGGCGCAUUAGCUAGUUGGUGAGGUAACGGCUCACCAAGGCGACGAUGCGUAGCCGACCUGAGAGGGUGAUCGGCCACACUGGGACUGAGACACGGCCCAGACUCCUACGGGAGGCAGCAGUAGGGAAUCUUCCGCAAUGGACGAAAGUCUGACGGAGCAACGCCGCGUGAGUGAUGAAGGUUUUCGGAUCGUAAAGCUCUGUUGUUAGGGAAGAACAAGUGCCGUUCAAAUAGGGCGGCACCUUGACGGUACCUAACCAGAAAGCCACGGCUAACUACGUGCCAGCAGCCGCGGUAAUACGUAGGUGGCAAGCGUUGUCCGGAAUUAUUGGGCGUAAAGGGCUCGCAGGCGGUUUCUUAAGUCUGAUGUGAAAGCCCCCGGCUCAACCGGGGAGGGUCAUUGGAAACUGGGGAACUUGAGUGCAGAAGAGGAGAGUGGAAUUCCACGUGUAGCGGUGAAAUGCGUAGAGAUGUGGAGGAACACCAGUGGCGAAGG